CCUAAACAUACCCACUCCCUUUCUUAUUGUUUUUAACAUCAGAUACUUUAAUGGCAUAAAUCUGUGUUCUGAAAAAAAAAACAAAAAAAAAAAACCUUUAACCUGUGUUUAUAAUGUUAUAGGGGCUGAAAUACCUAGCCUUUAUUUUUCAUACCUAUAACCUCAUCCACAUUGUUGCUAUAAGAUGUUGUCCAAUGAACCUUAAUUUAGG